UUUAUUUGACAUACAUAGUUUCAAGAUUGUAAUAUUUUAUUCACGGAUGUGGAGCAGUUUUGCGGUUGCGGACUGAGUUUGAGCAGCUUCUGCUUCUUCUUCUUCGGUUGCCAAUUGCGUUGGAUAUGAAGUGGCUGAAUGGCUUGCACUAUGAUGAUUCUUGCAGCUUUGGCGACCAAUCUCUGGUAAGCUUUGGAGAAAGCACGGCGUGCAUGACAUGGAUUACAUGUACCCCUGCCGAGAUUUCAUUGCACGGGUGAUCGAUCUUCUGAACCAAGCCACAGAAACAGUCUGUGUUUCUUUGCCAGCAUACUUCCUGCAAGGGUGGGAGAGUUUCCAAACCGCGCCUCAAAGGAAUGUGGGGCCCGGCGAGAAGGUUGAACGUGAAGCAACUUCAUUGUUCCUUGUUGAAACGGUUCCGAGUUUCGUAGCUGGGACUGCAUCCGUGACAUCAGUAAUUGGUAUUGUUGUUGGGUUUAUUGCUGGCUUGGGAAUAAUUCUGGCAUUCGGCUAUGCCCAAAGGAAACGGUCAAGUGAACGUCGAAUGAAGGCAGGCCUUAUUCAUUUGAUUUCCGAAAUGAAGAGGAGUGACUACCGGUCUGUGUUCCCCAAAUCCCAUCUUCCUCGAUGGAUUGUUAACCGUGAGCUUGAGAAGGUUGAUUGGAUGAAUAUUAUUUUGAGAAAAUUGUGGCCCUUCUUCAAUGAGGCCUACUCAAAGAUUUUACUGAAGGAUUGGGAGCAUCGUCUUGAGACGUUUAAGCCUGCCUUUGCCAAUUCAGUCAGAGUCCAGGAGCUUACGCUUGGCUCCGUUGCCCCCAACUUGGAAGGACUUCGAAUGCUGGAAUUGGAGCCGAAAGGGAUUUCAAUGGAUGUGGACACGCGGUGGAUUGGGAACGCUAGCUGCGUAUUGGAAGUGUCAUCGAUAGUGGGCGUAUCUUUUCCUGUACAGGUUAAAGACAUACAUUCAAAGAUGGUAUUUCGGUUCAUUUUCAAGCCUUUGGUAGACGAGCUGCCUGGAUUUGGAGCUUUUACCUUAUCAAUUAGGAAAAUGAAAAAAUUCGACUUCACCCUGAAAGUUGUCGGAGGAGACGUUUCGAGCAUUCCUGGUGUGACGGAGAAGCUGAACGAAAUGAUACACAACGCGGUAUUAGAGUCCUUAAGCUGGCCUAUGCGGAUCUGCAUACAAAUAAUUUCAACACCUGCAGAUAGCAACACGACUAGGCUGAAUCGCCAUAUGUUCCCGCGAAGAAACGCGGCCAUAUUUGCAGCAACGGGUUCGGAAGGAAAACCACCAGUCGGUAUCUUGGACGUAAAAUUGGUGCAGGGAAGGGACUUAUGGGAUACAGGAAAGCCCCCCGACCCCUUUGCACUGUUAUACAUUCAUGCUACUCCGGGGCAAAUAAGGAGGAGCACGACCAUAAGGCAAAACAAUAAUCCAAUAUGGAAUGAGUUUUUUGAACUAGAGUUUAAUGACCUGAAAGAAGAAAAAAUUGUGAUUGUUUUGUUCGACAAUGCGGCUCCUCAAGAAUUUCAGGUGUUGGGCUACUGCCAAUUUUACUUGCAGGGACUUGACGACAGGCGGGUCACAGAGCGAUGGCUUAAAGUUUUUAAGGAUGCGCGUUGUCUUGGAAAUUUGGAUGAAACCAAGUAUAGGGGACAGGUGAAUAUUGAGCUGCUGCAUCGAUAUUAUGACGAGCAAGAACUUCAAGGCUUUCAGCAAGUCGCAUCAAGUUCUCUGGAUUUGGGGAAUUGGCACAGAAGGAGAAGCACCUGUUUAAGUGACAGGUUCUCUCGCAAGGGAAACUUGUGGGAAUUGAUUCGUGGGAUAUUGACGAUCACAGUGGCGCGCGCUGAAAACCUUCUUCCUGCCGAUUUCCAGGGCAGGAGUCAUCCGUACGUGGCCCUUCACAUGAUGAAGCAAAAAAGAUUGAAGAAAAAGACCUCGGUUAAGCAGAGCACCUUGAAUCCAAUCUGGCAUGAAACAUUUGAUUUUCAUGUUCAAGACGCCCGCCAAGAUAUGCUCAUCGCAGAAGUUUGGAACGACGAAAUUAUUGGCAGGGAUUAUCUAGGGUCGACAGCCACAACGUUGACCCGAGUGUUGCAGGAAUAUGCCUUUGAAGAAAAGUUCAGACUUGUUGGGGUACCCAGUGGAAGAUUGUAUCUCCGACUCUCAUGGGAAAAUAGUAUAGGGACGUCUGUCAUUUCAGAUAAACCUUCACUUCUUUCUCCUAGUGAGCAUUUCCCAUCUUCACAUGGCCUCCUACAACUGUUCCCGAUGGAUGUUUCCCCGAACUGAGGACGUUUCCUCGAAUUACCCCCCGCCCAGGCGGACAAGUGGAACACAGAAUCUAAAUCAUGGAUCAAGACGAAGCUACAUAUUGUGAACUGAGAGAACUUGAAACUGGUUCAAGCUAUGGUGGUGCAAAGCAUUAUCUUCUGUCACACGUGAACAGAAAAAAUAGAUCAACGUAGUUCUCCUGAAGAAUAAUCCAAUAACCUUCCCACCGGUAGAGUUUCACUUGCUUUUCUAACCUAGACAACUGUAUUGUACAAUUUGUCUUUUGAAUACUGUAACACAGAACCAAGAGGUACUAGAGAUAUGUCCCAGGGAUAAAAAGAAUGAACCAUGUCUAAAUUUCGCUGUUUAAACCGUUAGAAGAUUCCUUUACAUUUAAAGAGGAAGUAACCCUUGUCUAGUUGCUGUGCGUAAACCAAGAAGAACAUAUUUGUCGAACCACCGGGACCAUUGUGCUGAGGAGAUGCACGAUCAGAACCACUUAGCACCUUCUCAAUCGAUGUUUACACAUCACUUAGUGAUACAGAAGAUCCAAGUGAUGCUUGAGUUGCAAUAACAUCAUCGGAUAUUGCUUGA